rnacentral:rRNA from 1 species
UGAGGAAUAUUGGUCAAUGGGGGCAACCCUGAACCAGCCAAGUCGCGUGAAGGAUGAAGGUCUUAUGGAUUGUAAACUUCUUUUAUACAGGAAUAAAUUGGGGGACGUGUCCCCUUUUGCAUGUACUGUAUGAAUAAGGAUCGGCUAACUCCGUGCCAGCAGCCGCGGUAAUACGGAGGAUCCGAGCGUUAUCCGGAUUUAUUGGGUUUAAAGGGUGCGCAGGCGGGAUGUUAAGUCGGCGGUGAAAUUUUGCAGCUCAACUGUAAAAGUGCCUUCGNUACUGGCUUCCUUGAGUGUAGAUGAAGUAGGCGGAAUUUGUGGUGUAGCGGUGAAAUGCUUAGAUAUCACGAGGAACUCCGAUUGCGCAGGCAGCUUACUAAACUACAACUGACGCUCAUGCACGAAGGCGUGGGGAUCAAACA